rnacentral:rRNA from 1 species
GAUCCUGGCUCAGAAUCAACGCUGGCGGCGUGCCUAACACAUGCAAGUCGCACGAGAAAGGGUAGCAAUACCUGAAUAAAGUGGCGCACGGGUGAGUAACACGUGAAUUAUCUACCUCCGAGUGGGGAAUAACUGAGAGAAAUCUUAGCUAAUACCGCAUAACACUUACGAGUCAAAGCAGUAAUGCGCUUGGAGAGGAGUUCGCGGCAGAUUAGUUAGUUGGCGGGGUAAUGGCCCACCAAGACGAUGAUCUGUAUCCGGCCUGAGAGGGCGCACGGACACACUGGAACUGAAACACGGUCCAGACUCCUACGGGAGGCAGCAGUGGGGAAUUUUGCGCAAUGGGGGAAACCCUGACGCAGCAACGCCGCGUGGAGGAUGAAAUCCCUUGGGAUGUAAACUCCUUUCGAUAGGGAAGAUUAUGACGGUACCUAUAGAAGAAGCCCCGGCUAACUUCGUGCCAGCAGCCGCGGUAAUACGAGGGGGGCAAGCGUUGUUCGGAUUUAUUGGGCGUAAAGGGUGCGUAGGCGGUUUGGCAAGUCUUGUGUGAAAUCUUUGGGCUCAACCCAAAGCCUGCACAAGAAACUGCCGGGCUUGAGUAUGGGAGAGGUGAGUGGAAUUUCCGGUGUAGCGGUGAAAUGCGUAGAUAUCGGAAGGAACACCCUGUGGCGAAAGCGGCUCACUGGACCA